rnacentral:rRNA from 1 species
ACGAACGCCGGCGGCGUGCUUAACACAUGCAAGUCGAACGGUGAAGGGACCGGUUUUUGCUGGUUCUGGAUGAGUGGCGAACGGGUGAGUAACACGUGAGUAACCUGCCCCCUUCUUCUGGAUAACCGCAUGAAAGUGUGGCUAAUACGGGAUAUUCUGCGCCUGCUGCAUGGUGGGUGUGGGAAAGAUAUUGUUUCGGUGGGGGAUGGGCUCGCGGCCUAUCAGCUUGUUGGUGGGGUGAUGGCCUACCAAGGCGGUGACGGGUAGCCGGCCUGAGAGGGUGGACGGUCACACUGGGACUGAGACACGGCCCAGACUCCUACGGGAGGCAGCAGUGGGGAAUAUUGCACAAUGGGCGCAAGCCUGAUGCAGCGACGCCGCGUGAGGGAUGGAGGCCUUCGGGUUGUAAACCUCUUUCGCCAGUGAAGCAGGCCUGUCCCUUUUGUGGGUGGGUUGACGGUAGCUGGAUAAGAAGCGCCGGCUAACUACGUG